GCGUGCAGGAUGAAGGCCUUCGGGUUGUAAACUGCUUUUGUACGGAACGAAAAGACUCUUUCUAAUAAAGAGGGUCCAUGACGGUACCGUAAGAAUAAGCACCGGCUAACUACGUGCCAGCAGCCGCGGUAAUACGUAGGGUGCAAGCGUUAAUCGGAAUUACUGGGCGUAAAGCGUGCGCAGGCGGUUAUGUAAGACAGAUGUGAAAUCCCCGGGCUCAACCUGGGAACUGCAUUUGUGACUGCAUAGCUAGAGUACGGCAGAGGGGGAUGGAAUUCCGCGUGUAGCAGUGAAAUGCGU
rnacentral:rRNA from 1 species